rnacentral:lncRNA from 1 species
AGAAAAGCCGGCAUAAAGCACUUUUAUUGCAAUAAUAAAACUUGAGACUCAUAAAUGGUGCUGGGGGAAGGGUGCAGCAACGAUUUCUCACCAAAUCACUACACAGGACAGCAAAGGGGUGAGAAGGGGCUGAGGGAGGAAAAGCCAGGAAACUGAGAUCAGCAGAGGGAGCCAAGCAUCAAAAAACAGGAGAUGCUGAAGCUGCGAUGACCAGCAUCAUUUUCUUAAGAGAACAUUCAAGGAUUUGUCAUGAUGGCUGGGCUUUCACUGGGUGUUAAGUCUACAAACAGCACCUUCAAUUGAAACUGUCAAUUAAAGUUCUUAAGAUUUAGGAAGUGGUGGAGCUUGGAAAGUUAUGAGAUUACAAAAUUCCUGAAAGUCCAUUAGAAAAACCACAGGAUGAAAAAAAAAAAAGGCCACAAAGAAGGCUUCAGAGGUCCCUGCUGGCCCAGGGACAGAUACCUGUAGUGUCCAGCAUUGCAGUGAACAUGAUCUACUUUCAAAGGCAGAGGGUUUAAGGGGAGGGUGGGUGGGAAUGGUGGAGGCAAAGGCUCUCCCCAUCCCCACCUCAGUUUUAGGUAGGGCUUUUAAUUUAACCCAAAGACAUCUCUCAACUUGGAGAGUAAUUCAGUCCUCAACAGCGCCUCAAAUCUGCUAUGGCUUUGCAGCGCAGCAGCAAGAAUGUUUAAUAUAUAAUAGAUAAAAAUUUCAUCCAAAAAAUUAAAAUAAAAUAUUCUUGCAAACCCCCCCCCCAACACCAAUUCCUAUUCUAAUGUUAACCUACCACUUGUGCUGUUAAUACUUGACCAUGUACUUAAUUGGAAACCUAUAUCCAAAAGACUGAAACUGAAUCUUCACCCCAAAAUGAAAACAAAAUAAAAUGAAUAACUUGAGGUUUAUGGCAUAUAGUUUAGGUAAACACACAUACGAGGAGAAAGGGGAAGAGGAAACAGAGGUGUCGGAAGCAAAGCUGAGUGACAGAACACAUUCAGUCAGGGCAGAUGUCUAUACAAAGUGGAGUGGAACAUCAGGAAAAGCUCCAUAUGGAUUCAUGUGCACAUGUCUGGAGGCACCAGAUCCCUCCAUGGCAGAUCUGUUGGGGACAGAAAAUCUGUGAGUUUCCAGCAACUCAGUGUUCUUUGUGUGCAGUGGCGACAGCCACGAUGCCAUCUGCCACGCCAAAUCCCUUCCCCAACAGCUGAGCAGUCUGAGACCAAGCCACUUCUGUUCCAGCUGGAGACAGCCAGAAAGACUUGGGCUGGGUCCCAGGUGAAACAAACUUUCUCCUUAAAUUGAUCUGUGUGUUUUGUUUAAUCUAAGGUUAAGUUUGCCUUGCUGAGGACAGCAGGAGGGCUAGCCACCCAUGCUGCUGACAAUACAGUUCCCCACUAUCAUUGGGUCUCAAACUGUGCUACAUAUAGGCAUCACCUGGGGGCUUUAAAAAACUCUUAAUGCCUGGGUUCCACUCCCAUGAUUAUGAUUAACUGGUUUAGGGUUUGACCUGGGCAUCAGGAAAGUCUUAAAAAUUUCCCAGGUGACUCUCAUGUGCAGUCCAGACUGAGAAUAAACUGGUCAUUCAUAAUGUUGAGUAUACUGGGAAAAUAUCUCCAGUAUUCAUUCAUUCACUCAACUUAAAACUUUCUGGGUUUGCCCUUGGAUUUUCCUUCCAGACUCUUGCAAGAAGCUGAGACAUUCUUUGGCAGUGGGUUGGGAGGGUUACUCGGGGUGACUUGUAGCCUUUAUCCCUCUCUCCCCUCCCUCUACCUCAUCAAGUUUACAGAAAGCCUGUUCCCAACCAGGAAAAUAAUUCCAAGGCUCCCUCGAGUACAGUUAUGUUCAAAAAAUGACUCAGCUCUCAAAGAACAGGAAAGGGAUUUUGGCCUAGGUGCAGACCUCUGGGCAGACAAAGGCCCUGUAAAGUGCCAGGGAUUCCCUCCCAGUAGCAAUGACAGGUGAAGAAACCAGUUAUCAAACUUAACCAGGCCUGUAUUACCAAGGUGUGUGUGGUUCAAACAGAGAGUUUAAAAAGCCCCUCCACUUACAGAUGUGCACAACAGGACCAGGUUACAAGUAGCUCUGACUGCCAUCACAAAUAGGAUGGCAGCCAUUUGUUGUGGCUUUCAAACAAAAGUGUCCUCACCCAGGCCUUGGCUGUGACCCUCUGGUUCCUAUGGCAGGAGGGGAGCAAAUAAAAAGGUCUGGGGCCAGUUGGAAGGAAGCCAGUAGCAUUCAUGUACUUAAUGAUUCUAACACUUACAUGAAAAGUUACGUGCUACUAGGAUACUGAGUUUAGUUCCUAAGAAAUGAGGGUGGAAGAGGGGAAAAUCAACAAACAGGGGCUCUGGUCCUACUUUGCCACUGCCUGGAUGUGACCUUGAGUAAGGCCUUUCUCUCUGGCCCUGUUUCCUUACUGUUGCACAAUAAAGCUGAUGCAGAGGCCCCUAAGAUCCCUUCCUAGAACUGUCUGAUCUAAGAGCAUCCUUUCAACUUCACAAGCAUCCUCUGGCUUCAUUUUUCCACUUCACUCACUGAUAAGCUGGCCUGGGGGCCUCAAGUGUCCUGGGUGUGGACCCUGAGCAGGUGGACCGAUGCAGGAAUGCCUCCCUCAUACCAUCUAAUAGGCAGUAACCACAAACCACAGUGAAGAGAGAGCCGCAGAAGCUAGGACAUGAUAUUCAUAUCCAAAGGGCUUUUUUUUUCCCCCUCUAGCUUCUAGAAACACAGGGUAGAACAAAGUCAUUCAUUAAGAGUCUUAUUUCCAAAGAACUAAAAUGUUGGCACUACAAAUUUGGCCUACAUUUCCAUAGUCCUCAAUUCAGUUUUAAUUUAUAAACUACAUAGAAAAACAUUUAAACAGCUGCCAUCUCCAUGAGUUGAACUGGGAACAUACACAUGCCAAUUCCUUUCCUUAGGGUGACCAAUUUUUACAUUCAAAGCAUACACUAAUAACACUGAAAGGAUACUCAAUACAGAAAGAAUGCAGGGGGAAAAAUAGCCUUGUGGUGUUUUUUGUUCUCUCUGCUACCCAUCAAACGCUGGGCAUAACAUGGGAGGAGCAAAGGCAGUGAAGGGCCCUUCAGUAUUCCAUUUCCUUACCCAAGAACAGGGAGCUAAGGGAGGAGGCCAUUCCUGUCAUUCCAGUUUUAGAAGCUCCACAUCGAAGACGAGAGUGGCAUGUGGUGGGAUGAUGCCUGGGUGCCCAGUGGCACCAUAGGCAUAAUCUGGAGAUAUAGUCAGUUUGGCUCUCUGACCCACACUCAUCUGUGAAAAGAACAAGGAAGACAGACUCAGCUGGACACAUGCCCCAACUGUCUCUGUAAGAAAAAGAGCUGUUUACCUAGGUGUUCCUUGGCCAGGAUGGUAUUGACUUUCCAGUGACUUUGCAGCUGCCCAGGCAUCACCACCUCCUUGUGCAGGACUUGGAGGUUGGCAGUCAUAUUCCAUCACCCCUGCAUCUCACUCCAAGAAGCCCAAUGGCAGUUCAAAACCCCUCCUGACUCUCAGAACGGUCAGGCCCUCAACCUUUCUACGCAAGUCUUAAUGACUAAUGCUAGGCAGGUAACAUUCCAGAUGUCUCACCACCUAGUCCCCUUCAGUGAUCUGUCACUUAAAGGACAUGUUAAGUGCCAUCUAUGCUCUUCUUGAAAAAGGAAUACUCAACUUUGCUUUAAAAAAAUAUAUACACAGGAAGUAAUACUUGAGGGUAGUCUAUUUUUUCUGUAUUUUUUCUAUUUAUACUCUUUUACCCAUAUAGGAAAACUUCAAAAAAGACAAUAUGAUUUUCUGGGCUACAAAAUAGCAUUUACUGAAUACCAUUUGUGAAAAUAUUGAUAUGCCUACAACAGAAAACAUCUUUGGAAGGACAUACCAGACAUUUGCUGUGAGGAGAACAGUAUGGAUAGUGAGUGACCAGUAAGGAGAGAUUUCUACUUUAAAAAAUAUAUUUGUGUAUAUUUUCAGUUUCAAAUUAAAUACACAAAUAAGUAUAAAAUAUCUACUUUCUGAACAGUGAGCAGGUUCUCUGCAGUAUUUCCAUCCUUUGACUUAUCUCUGCUUUUGGUCUCCAUGUGUAUGUUCCCGACUUUCCAACUCCACCAGACAGAGGAUGAAUAAAGAGGAAGCUCCAGGCUGUGAAGCGUCUAGUCCUUGCUCCCCUCAGAAGCUGGGACAUGUUGGACCAAGGUGGUAAGGAUAGUGAGAGGCCAAAGAUUUAACAAUAUACUGUGAUGCUGGGGCUGGGAGGAGAUUGCACCUUUAUAGCCUGGUGGUGGCAGUCCAGAGUGCAACCCCUAGAGAUGGUAACUUGACAAGACCUCUCAAAAACACUACACACAGCUUUUGAGCCCCUCAUCCCACUUCUGAGAGUAAGUCCUAUGGCAACAUGUGCACACGUGGAAAAUGAAGUCUGUACAAGGUGAGUUACUGCAGCAUUGUUUAUAAUAGCAAAAUACUGGAAAUGACUCAAAUACUCAUUAAUAGGGCACUAGCCAAGUAAAUUAUAGCACACUUACAUAAACGAAUACUAGGCAGCUGUAACAGAGCUUACUCCUCAUUUUUUCUUUCUUUUUUGAAAUGGAGUUUCGCUCUCGUCAUCCAGGCUGGAGCGCAAUGGCACAAUCUUGGCUCACUACAACCUCCGCCUGCUGGGUUCAAGUGAUUCUCCUGCCUCGGCCUCCCAAGUAGCUGGGAUUACAGGCACCUGCCACCACGCCCGGCUAAUUUUUGUAUUUUUAAUGGAGAUGGGGUUUCGCCAUGUUGGCCAGGCUGGUCUCGAACUCCGGACCUCAGGUGAUCC